GACGUAGGGCGCGAGCGUUGUCCGGAUUUAUUGGGCGUAAAGAGCUCGUAGGCGGCUUGUUGCGUCGACUGUGAAAACCCGCGGCUUAACUGCGGGCUUGCAGUUGAUACGGGCAGGCUAGAGUUCGGUAGGGGAGACUGGAAUUCCUGGUGUUGCGGUGAAAUGCGCAGAUAUCAGGAGGAACACCGGUGGCGAAGGCGGGUCUCUGGGCCGAUACUGACGCUGAGGAGCGAAAGCGUGGGGAGCGAACAGG
rnacentral:rRNA from 1 species